rnacentral:lncRNA from 1 species
AUGUCCCCCCCUCCCCACCCCGCAGCGACUUCGAUGCUCUGGACCCGCGGGACCCCCGGGGCAACAACAAACGGGUGCGUGGGGGGGGUGGGGGGCGCGGGGGGCUCCAGGGAUGGAGACCCCCCCCCACUGACUGCCCCCCCCCCCAAAUCCGUGCCCCUCCCCCCACAGGCCUUCGACGCCUUCGCGGCCUUGGGGGUCCCGCGGCUCCUGGACCCCUCGGACAUGGAGACCCCCGACCCCCUGGGGGUCAUGACCUUCCUCAGCCAGGUCCGAGCGAUCCUGGGGACCCCCCCGGGGACCCCCCCGGACCCCCGGAGCGGCUCCAGCGAGGGGGGGCCCCGAGAGACCCCCCAGGACCCCCAGAACCCCCCGGAAACCCAAACCGGGACCCCCCCGGACCCCCAGAGUGACGUCAUUGAGGGGGGGCCCCAAACGACCCCUCCCGGGACCCCCCCGGACCCCCAAAUCAGCGUCACCGAGGGGGAGCCCCAAGAGCCCCCCCGGCACCCCCGGACCCCCCCAGAGACCCAAACCGAGACCCCCCCGGACCCCCAGAGUGAUAUCACCGAAGGGGGGCCCCAAACGACCCCUCCCGGGACCCCCCCGGAACUCCAAAUCGGCGUCAGCGAGGGAGGGGCCCAAGAGCCCCCCCAGACCCCCCCAGAGACCCAAACCGGGACCCCCAUGGACCCCCAAAUCAGCAUCAGUGAGGGGGGGCCCAAAUUAACCCCCCCGGGAUCCCCCAGGACCCCCAAAACUGUUUCAGCGAGGGGGGGCCCCAAGAGCCCCCCCAGGACCCCCGGACCCCCCCAGAGACUCAAACCGGGACCCCCCCGGACCCCCAAAUCAGCAUCAGUGAGGGGGGGCUCCAAACGACCCCUCCCGGGACCCCCCCGGACCCCCAGAGUGACGUCACCGAGGGGGGGCCCCAAGAGACCCCCCCAGCCCCCCCCCCAGCUCGGCCCCACCGAGGGGGGGGCGCCCCCAGACCCCCCCGUGGAGGGGGAGCCCCCCCAGGACCCCCAGACUGACCCAGCCCAGGGGGGACCCCCACUCAGCCCCCCCCGGGACCCCCAAAAUGAGGCUGGGGAGGGGGGGGGCUCCCCCCAGCCCCUCCAGGACCCCCCCCCAGCCUUUGGGGAGGGGGCGGCCGGGCCCGGGCCCCCCCCCCGGCCCGUGGGGGUGGGGAGGGGUCUCCCCCCGCCCCCCCCCCGCUCCAGGAGCCUCCCCCGCCUGCGGGACCCCCCCCCGAAGGUGAGACCCCCCCCCCCAGAGCCCCCCUGA